GACACUUCACGAAUAUGGCUAUAUUGUAAAAUAUGGUGUACAUGUGGAAACGGCAUUAUGGGUCAUGUUUUGAAGGAAUUUAGACCACUUUAUAAUGAUAACUAUAUCUUAACCAUUUCCCUUGGUAGCAAACGGCUUCGGAAGAACCAAGGGAUGUGGAUUCAAGUUGGGGCACAUCUCUCUCCUGCUGCCAUGUGAAGAAGGAUGCGUUUUCUUCCCCUUCAGCCAUGAUGAAAACGCUGCCCAUUGUGUACAGAAUCUCCAUCAUAUCACCCAAACAGAAUCUGCCUGACCAUGUGAACAACAGUUUUGGGGUACAUGAGCAGAGCAUGCAAGACAGUUGCGUAGGUACACACAUGGCAGUGUGCUUUGCUUUUCUUCUCCCCUUCACCCACAUUUGGCAUUUCUCCCCAGGCUAUCCCUCCCCACCUCCCCCUCCCACUGGCCCUCCCCUUUUCCCCCCAAUAGACCCCAGUGUUUAGUACUCCCCUUUCUGUGUCCAUGUGUUCUCAUUUUUCAUCACCCGCCUAUGAGUGAGAAUAUGCGGUGUUUCAUUUUCUGUUCUUGUGUCAGUUUACUGAGGAUGACGUUCUCCAGAUUCAUCCAUGUCCCUACAAACGACACAAACUCAUCAUUUCUGAUUGCUGCAUAAUAUUCCAUGGUGUAUAUGUGCCACAUUUUUCCAAUCCAGUCUAUUAUCAAUGGGCAUUUGGGUUGAUUCCAGGUCCUUGCUAUUGUAAACAGUGCUGCAAUGAACAUUCGUGUACAUGUGUCCUUAUAGUAGAACGAUUUAUAGUCUUUUGGAUAUAUACCCAGUAAUGGGAUUGCUGGCCUUAGAAAUAGAAAUUCCAUUUGACCCAGCAAUCGCAUAGCUGUGUUUUUUAAGAACACUGUGAAUCCUAUCACUCAUGGUGCCUCCUUGUAUUUCAGUUUACACUAGAAAAUGGAGUAGUUGCCAUAAUUUGGUCUACAAAUAUCACCAGUUUUAUUAUAUUUAUUUUAUUUUGAUAAAAAUUAUGCAGCCAUGAUGUGUCUCCUUUUCUCACAGUGUCCUCCCAUAGUCUAAUUGCACAUAAACCGUAAUUCAUUUCAGUGACUUAUAAAUCAGAACAUUCUCAUGCAGUAUAUUUUUCUUCUUAGCAAACACACAUACCCAAACAUAUA
rnacentral:lncRNA from 1 species